UUGUUCCAAACAUCUUGGGGAACUAGUCACAGUUCUUCUGUGGAUUUAGGCAGCCUCAAAUGCUUCUGUCUCUUCAUGUAAUCCCAGACAGACUCGAUGAUGUUAAGAUCAGGGCUCUGUGUGGGGCCAUACCAUCACUUCCAGGACUCCUUGUUCUUCUUACGCUGAAGAUAGUUAGAUAUUAGAUAGAAGAUAUUGGCUGUUUGGGGUCGUUGUCCUGCUGCAGGAUAAAUUUGGGGCCAAUCAGAUGCCUCCGUGAUGGUAUUGCAUGAUGGAUAAGUAUCUGCCUGUACUCAGCAUUGAGGAGACCAUUAAUUCUGACCAAAUCCCCAACUCCAUUUGCAGAAAUGCAGCCCCAAACUUGCAAGGAACCUCCACUAUGCUUCACUGUUGCCUGCAAACACUCAUUCUUGUACCGCUCUCCAGCCCUUUGGCGAACAAACUGCCUAUUAGUCAAAAUAUUUCACAUUUGUCUCAUCAGUCCAGAGAACCUACUGCCUUUAUUCUGCACCCCAGUUCCUGUGUUUACCAGCAUAGUUCAGUCGCUUGGCCUUGUUUCCAUGUCGGAGGUAUGGCUUUUUGGCCGCAAUUCUCCCAUGAAGACCACUUCUGACAAGACUUCUCUGCACAGUGGAUGGGUAUACCUGGGUCCCACUUGUUUCCACCAAUCCUGAGCUGAUGGCACUGCUGGACAUCUUCCGAUUGCGAAGGGAAAGCUUGGACAGCAGAUCUGGUGAUGAGAGACCUUCCUGAUGCUGUGCUCAUUCUUGUUAUGGUGUAUGACUUCUGACAUUAAACUGUCUUCAGCAACCUCAUCUUGGAAGCAAAGUUCCUCAUGCAGUUUUAACCCUCCUACACAGCUGUUUUUUAUUUCAGUUAAUGAUUGUGUUUCAACCUACAUAUUAAAUUGAUGAUCAUUA